rfam:Heligmosomoides polygyrus genome assembly, scaffold: HPBE_scaffold0000269
UCGCCUGGAUGUGUAAGGCGAACAUCGCUGCCCGGAAAGCAGAGGAUGCGGGUUCGAGUCCCGCCUGGCGCA